GGAGGGAUGGAGGUGCAUGCUGCUGUGUGCUGCUGUAACCUGUUCUGGCUGUGAUGGAUUACAGCUGCUGAUGGGCUCAGUUGUUUGCUGCUCUGUUUCGUAGCUCUUGGCAAUUCUUUUUCUGCUGCCUUUUUUCCCUUCUGCCUCUUCUAAUAAUGCAAAUGUAAACCCUGAAGUCUGUUUUUUCACCCCUGCAUGGGUAAAGCCUUCACGGAGCUCCAGCAGCAGUUUCACCUGCAAUGAGGUCUCCCAAAGGAAGCACCAAACUCAAAUCAAGGAAGAAAAGUAGUUUUGCUUUAAAGCAAAGAGGGUGAUUUGUCCUUCAGCUGUGUCAGUGGGAAGGGAUCUCCAGCCCCAGGGCUGGUACCCAGCUGCAGCCUGGGCUGUGCUCACUGCUGCCCUGUGCCAGGCAGUGCUGCUCACACACUUGUCCCUUCUCUGGUGCAGAUCUCAAGCCUGAGGCCCCACUUCAGCAGUCUGCUGGCUGAGACCUUAGUGCCCCUCAUCAAUGGUGCCCUGAGCAUCGGGAUCCCUCUGCCAAACGUGUUGGGCAUUCCCUUAAUAAGGGUGGACAUCCAGAUCCUAGCGGGCCUGCUGGUGAUCCUGGUGUGAGCCGGGCAGAGCGAGGGUCUGUCUGAGAGGGGCAGGAGGAGGUACCAGAUGGAGCACCAAGCCCAACGUUAUCUGCUUUUCUUCUCUAAACCCCAAGAUUCUUGAUGACAUUUAAGGCACUUUACAUGUAAUUGGCCUGUGAGUACUGAGCUGCUCCCAUAGGUCAAACCCCAUGGGCAGCUCUGGGUACAGAUGCUUAUUUAGAGGAAGGAGCAGGUUUGGGUGGCAGCUCCAGCAGUGCCGUGUGAUGCUGCAGCAGAGGAGUUAAACCUGUCCCAGUUGUUCUUGAUGUAAUGAAGAGGGAGGUUGGUGCAUGUGGCUUUUGGAGGUAAUGUCACUGUCCCCGUGCGGAAGGAAACACUUG
rnacentral:lncRNA from 14 species